CUGAGAGCAGCGCCGCCGGCUCCUGUGGGGAGCCUGAGAGCAGCGCCGCCGGCUCUAGUAAGGACGCCGCUCCUGUCCUUGUCGGCCAUGUUGAGGUCGUUCCUGUUCCUGUCGGCCAAGAAGAGGUCGUUCCUGUUCUUGUCGGCCAUGUUGAGGCCGUUCCUGUUCCUGUCGGCCAUGUAGAGGUCGUUCCUGUUCCUGUCGGCCAUGUAGAGGUCGUUCCAGUCCCUGUCCCAGUCCCUGUCGGCCAUGUAGAGGUCGUUCCAGUCCCUGUCCCAGUCCCUGUCGGCCAUGUUGUGGCCGUUCCAGUUCCUGUCCCAGACCCUGUCGGCCAUGUUGUGGCCGUUCUAGUUCCUGUCCCAGUCCCUGUCGGCCAUGUUGUGGCCGUUCCAGUUCCUGUCCCAGUUCCUGUCGGCCAUGUUGCGGCCGUUCCAGUCCCUGUUCCUGUCGGCCAUGUUGUGGCCGUUCCAGUCCCUGUUCCUGUCGGCCAUGUUGCGGCCGUUCCAGUCCCUGUUCCUGUCGGCCAUGUUGCUGCCGUUCCUGUCAGUCUUGGAGUGGCAGUCCCGGCGGACCUCCAGGAGGAGGUCGCGCCAGCCGCAGUCCCGGCGGACCUCCAGGAGGAGGUCGCGCCCGUCGCAGUCCCGGCGGACCUCCAGGAGGGGGUCGCGCCCGUCGCAGUCCCGGCAGACCUCCAGGAGGGGGUCGCGCCCGUCGCAGUCCCGGCGGACCUCCAGGAGGGGGUCGCGCCCGUCGUAGUUCCUGCCGACCAUCAGGAGGGGGUCGUUCCCGUCGCAGCUCCCGCUGCACCUGCAUCUGUUCCUGGCGGCCCGGCUCCGGCCGCACCUGCAUCUGUUCCUGGCGGCCCGGCUCCGGCCGCACCUGCAUCUGUUCCUGGCGGCUUGGCUCCGGCCGCACCUGCAUCGGUUCCUGGCGGCUCGGCUCCGGCCGCAUCUGCAUCGGUUCCUGGCGGCUCGGCUCCGGACGCAUCUGCAUCGGUUCCUGGCGGCCCGGCUCCGGCCGCACCUGUAUCGGUUCCUGGCAGCCCGGCUCCGGCCGCGUCUCCACGUCUGUCUUUGUCUCUG
rnacentral:lncRNA from 1 species